CGAAUGCUGACAUAAGUAACGAUAAAGCGGGUGAAAAGCCCGCUCGCCGGAAGACCAAGGGUUCCUGUCCAACGUUAAUCGGGGCAGGGUGAGUCGACCCCUAAGGCGAGGCCGAAAGGCGUAGUCGAUGGGAAACAGGUUAAUAUUCCUGUACUUGGUGUUACUGCGAAGGGGGGACGGAGAAGGCUAUGUUGGCCGGGCGACGGUUGUCCCGGUUUAAGCGUGUAGGCUGGUUUUCCAGGCAAAUCCGGAAAAUCAAGGCUGAGGCGUGAUGACGAGGCACUACGGUGCUGAAGCAACAAAUGCCCUGCUUCCAGGAAAAGCCUCUAAGCAUCAGGUAACAUCAAAUCGUACCCCAAACCGACACAGGUGGUCAGGUAGAGAAUACCAAGGCGCUUGAGAGAACUCGGGUGAAGGAACUAGGCAAAAUGGUGCCGUAACUUCGGGAGAAGGCACGCUGAUAUGUAGGUGAAGUCCCUCGCGGAUGGAGCUGAAAUCAGUCGAAGAUACCAGCUGGCUGCAACUGUUUAUUAAAAACACAGCACUGUGCAAACACGAAAGUGGACGUAUACGGUGUGACGCCUGCCCGGUGCCGGAAGGUUAAUUGAUGGGGUUAGCGCAAGCGAAGCUCUUGAUCGAAGCCCCGGUAAACGGCGGCCGUAACUAUAACGGUCCUAAGGUAGCGAAAUUCCUUGUCGGGUAAGUUCCGACCUGCACGAAUGGCGUAAUGAUGGCCAGGCUGUCUCCACCCGAGACUCAGUGAAAUUGAACUCGCUGUGAAGAUGCAGUGUACCCGCGGCAAGACGGAAAGACCCCGUGAACCUUUACUAUAGCUUGACACUGAACAUUGAGCCUUGAUGUGUAGGAUAGGUGGGAGGCUUUGAAGUGUGGACGCCAGUCUGCAUGGAGCCGACCUUGAAAUACCACCCUUUAAUGUUUGAUGUUCUAACGUUGACCCGUAAUCCGGGUUGCGGACAGUGUCUGGUGGGUAGUUUGACUGGGGCGGUCUCCUCCUAAAGAGUAACGGAGGAGCACGAAGGUUGGCUAAUCCUGGUCGGACAUCAGGAGGUUAGUGCAAUGGCAUAAGCCAGCUUGACUGCGAGCGUGACGGCGCGAGCAGGUGCGAAAGCAGGUCAUAGUGAUCCGGUGGUUCUGAAUGGAAGGGCCAUCGCUCAACGGAUAAAAGGUACUCCGGGGAUAACAGGCUGAUACCGCCCAAGAGUUCAUAUCGACGGCGGUGUUUGGCACCUCGAUGUCGGCUCAUCACAUCCUGGGGCUGAAGUAGGUCCCAAGGGUAUGGCUGUUCGCCAUUUAAAGUGGUACGCGAGCUGGGUUUAGAACGUCGUGAGACAGUUCGGUCCCUAUCUGCCGUGGGCGCUGGAGAACUGAGGGGGGCUGCUCCUAGUACGAGAGGACCGGAGUGGACGCAUCACUGGUGUUCGGGUUGUCAUGCCAAUGGCACUGCCCGGUAGCUAAAUGCGGAAGAGAUAAGUGCUGAAAGCAUCUAAGCACGAAACUUGCCCCGAGAUGAGUUCUCCCUGACUCCUUGAGAGUCCUGAAGGAACGUUGAAGACGACGACGUUGAUAGGCCGGGUGUGUAAGCGCAGCGAUGCGUUGAGCUAACCGGUACUAAUGAACCGUGAGGCUUAACCUU
rnacentral:rRNA from 1 species